rnacentral:lncRNA from 1 species
UUCUGUCAAGUUGACAUACAGCUAACAAGUACAGCACUGAAUGCAGCCGAAGUAACUUGUUAAACUGAACUGUGAGAAUGAAAAAAACUAUUGAUAAUGUGGUGAAGUGAUAGUUUGUAAUCUGUGCUGAAGAAAUUGGUAUAUUUUCAAAAUUUAACAUUAAUACUUUGAUAAGGGAAGAAUAUUUGGAAAAUUCAUUGUUUCCAAUAAUUCUUUUUUAUAAGGCUAAUUUUAUAUAAUAACCAUGUUUGCCUAGGCCUCAGUAAUAAGAAUAUUUGAUUUAUGUAAGAAAGAACUUGUCUCCCAGGCAUUUCUAAACCUUUAAGGGUAAGAAUUGUCUGCCUUGUCUGUUUUUGUAGUCUCAGCAUAAACGAUGCCAGUAUAGAGAUAAACAACGAAUAUUUAUUGAAUGAAUAUAGACUCAAUAAAUGAAGCAUAUUGAGAAAGGCACCCUUAUUAAUUAGCCUCUUGAUAUGAAAACUAAACAGAAAGAUUUGAAUUGAUUUGAUGGUAACUCUCUAUUCUGUUCGUGACAGUUCUAGACUACGAAAUUGUCAAAGGGGAAUUUUUCCAGAGUUCAGGCUCCUUACCUCAGUACUUUCACUAUAUUUUCUCCUUUCAAAAGUUGUUCAGGAAAAAAAAAAAAAAAGUUGUUCAGUAAGAUAAAUAUUCAGUACACCAGAGUGCUGUAGCCUUUAUUGAAAUGAGAUUGCUCUUGCAUUCUCCCCUUCCUCAGGUAAUUCCUGCGGUAUAAUUUCUGCUUAUGAAAUACAGAUUUCCUAGUGUGGUCCAUAUACUCCUUGCACUUUCCAACACAUUACCUGACAUUCAGUUUAGAAAUCUGUGGGGUUCCCCCCACCCAGUACCUUAAAAUAUGUUCUUUGUUAAAAAAUUCUCUGCACACAGGCCUCUUUUUAAAGUUUUUAUUGUGUGUUGUUUUAUGUUGUACUCAUGAGGCUGGGGCAUGCACAUGCAUGUGGAGGUCAGAAGACAGCUUUCAGAAGUUAGUUCUUUCCUUUCAUUGUGGGUUCUAGGGAUCAAACUCAAGUUUCAGGCUUGCUCAGCUAGCACUAUUACCUGCUGAGCCAUCUUGCUAGCCCAGUAAACUUCUUGAGAAAAAGGAAAUGUCAUAUUAUAAUCCUUGAUUCUCUCUUGUAGAGGUUCAUAAAUGUUUCUAGUACUGCAUCUGUUUGGGAUGUUAGGGAACAAAAGGGCUAAAUUACUCUAGGCUGAGGUGAUUUCCAUUGUCUGAAAGAACUGUGGAUAUGUAUAUUCCAAUCAAUGCCAUCUCUUUACUUUCAGUAUCAUUCUGUUCCUUUAGAAUUUGGUAUUUAAUAUGGUAAGCCAUUUUACUUUAUAGCUUUUGUCAAAUGGGAUGUUUAAAAGGGUAUACUCCUAGUGGUCCAGAGUUUCCUAUGGUUGCAGGGUAUCAAAUCAAUUUUUACUUGCUUAAGCAGCAUUUGAUGGGGAAGGAGAUAAUAAGGAAUACUGCCAGAGAGCAUGUUGAUAUCCAGGAUCAUAGCUGUUACAGGAGACAGUGAUGGCAUCCUUGGUUUGUGCUGUCCCCAGAGGCUGUCUGGAUGUCUAUGAUCUAUGCUGCUGCUGGAAACUAUGUGAAAGUCCAUGCAUGAUCUAUGCUGCCAUUGACUGCUAUGGGCAAGGAAGCUUCUGCAGUGGUAUCAAUGACUCCAGACUCAUAACUGAGAAUGAGAGAUGUUGAAGGCUUCUGUGACACUCCCUACCCACCCCCCUCCCCCCCAAAAAAGCAGUCCAGACAAAUAGCUAUUGAAAAGACUGCUUACAAAUUGUGAUAAAGAUGGUGAAGUGUAGCUCAUCACAGUUGAUAGCUUCUCUCAGUGGGGUUGGGAAAGGACUCUGUCUUUUUUAGGCAGCUGGCCAGCAGAGUUUGACCAUGCUUCAGUGAGUACAUGAGCAACACAAAUUGGACUUGGAUUUUUCUUUCUUUCUUACAUUCUUAGUUAGGGUUUUAUUGCUAUGAACAGAUACCGUGACCAAGGCAACUCUUAUAAGGACAACAUUUAGUUGGGGCUGGCUUACAGGUUCAGAGGUUCAGUCCAUUAUCAUCAAUCAAGGCAGGAACAUGGCAGCAUCCAGGCAGGCAUGGUGCAGGAGCUGAGAGUUCUAUGUCUUCACCUGAAAGCUGCUAGUAGAAGACUGACCUCUAAGUAGUUAGGAUGAGGGUCUUAAAAUCUCUCUAACAAGGCCACACCUCCAAAUAGUGCCACUCACUGGGCUAAGCAUAUUCAAACCAUGACAUUCCACUCCCUGGCCCCCAUAGGCUUGUUCAAACACCUGAGUCUAUGGGGGCCAUAUCUAGUCAUAACAUAAUUAAAAAGUACAUUUAGUCCAACUUCCAAAGUCCCCAUAAUCUCGAGCAGCAUCAACAAUGUUAAAAGUUCAAAGUCUCUUCUGAGAUCUAUCAAAUCACUUAACUGUAAUCCCCAAAUCAAUACAGGAAACCAUCUGGGUAAACUCCAAAUUCUGCAUCUCUUUGUCUGAUGUCAAAGCAGUUUUCAGAUCUCCAACUCCUUUUUCAUCAUUGUUGACUGCAAUAAACUUCUUUUCCUGGGCUGGUUCCACUCCCUGUUAGCAGCUUUCCUCAGGAAAUAUCCUCUAGCUCUGGGGUCUCCAAUGAGCAAUGUUCAGGUCCCAUGUGAAUCUCCUUUAUUUUGUAGGCCUAUGAAGAGUACACCAGCAAGCUAGAUGCCCUUCAGCAAAGAGAACAGCAGCUUUUGGAAUCCCUGGGUAAUGGAGCAGAUUUUUCUGUUUCUAGCUCUGCAUCAAUGGACACCGUUACAUCCUCCUCCUCUUCUAGCCUUUCAGUGCUACCAUCAUCUCUUUCAGUUUUUCAAACUCCCACAGAUGCAUCACGGAACAACCCCAAGUCACCACAGAAACCUAUCGUUAGAGUCUUCCUGCCCAACAAACAGAGGACAGUGGUAAGUCAGUAUUUAUCAUCAUCCUUUUGCUUUCUUUGUGUUGAACAUCAUCAUCACUGCAUAUUCAGAGCCAUGCCAAUGGAAUUAUCCAUUUUAAGUUAGGGUAGAAAAGACAUGAUUAUUUUAUGUCAAGUCUAUAUACAGAGUUCUUUUUUUUAAGAUGCAUUCAUUCAUUCAUUUGUUUGUUUGUUUUAUGUAUAUGAGUACACUAUUGCUCUCUUCAGUCACACCAGAAGGCACCAGAUCCCAUUACAAAUGGUUGUGAGCCACCAUGUGGUUGCUGGAUAUUGAACUCAGGACCUCAGGAGGAACAGUCAGUGCUCUUAUCCGCUGAGCCACCUCCCUAACCCUUCUUUUUAAUUUUUAUUUGUGUAUUUGUGUACAUGGCUUCACUAUGUAGCCUCGGCUGUGGAACUCACUACAUAGAUCAGGCUGGCCUCUGACUAACAGCGACCGGCCUGCCUCUGCCUCUUCAAGUGAUGGGAUGUUAGCAUGCCUAACUGAUCAAACUUCAUUGGCACUUAAAUAUAAGUACUAGUUAAACAUCAGUCAGGAGCCAGGCAGUGGUGGCACACGCAUCCCAGCACUUGGGAAGAAAAGUCAGUCAGGAGACUGAAGAGGUGGCUCAGCAGUUCAGAGCACUGGCUGCUGCUGCAGAGGUCCUUGGUUUGGUCUCCUGCACUCUUAGGUUAGUCCACAACCAUCUGUAAUAACAUUUUGAGGAAAUUUGGUGCCCUCUUCUGGCCUCAAAGAAUACCAGGCAUACAUAUGGUGAACUACUGAACAGGCAGGCAAAGUACGCAUAAGAAUAAAAUAAAAACGAAUGCAUCUUUUUUUAAAGACGAGAUUAGAAUUUCCAGAUUUAAGCUUGUAUCAGGUAAGAUUCUUUCCUCUGUGUAAUCUCCAGCCUAAAUUACCUUUCAGUUACCUUUCAGUGUGCUAGUGUUUUCCUCUUGUGUAUGUAACUCCUAAAAAUUGUCACAAAAUUGUUAGAAACAAUGUACCAGUAAGAAACAUUUAAAGCAGAGAAAUCUCCUGAGUCCUCAAGUAAAGCACAUAUUGUCAAGUUCAGCCUUCAUAAUUAACGUUCCUGGAAAACGUAAGCCAUAGUGCUUUCGUGUGUGUGUGUGUGUGUGUGUGUGUGUGUGUGUGUGUGUGUGUGCACAAGAGUGGGGGUGCUCACAAGGCCAGAGGAGACAUUAGGUCUGCAGGGACUGGAGUUAUAGGUAGUUAGUUUUGAGUCACCGGACAAGAAAGAUCCUGGGGACUGAACUCUGUCCCGUAGAAAAGCAGCCCGUGUUCUUAACCACUGGUCCAUCUCUCCAACUCUAUAUGAUUGCUUCGAACUUUAAUUAGAAGAGUUGCAAGUCAGCUAAAAUCAAAGUAGUUUCUCUUUGUUUUUGCUGUGAGACAACAGAAAUUCAAAGUACAGUGGGUGUUUUCCAGUAUUCCAAAACUCCUUUUGACUUUUAAAAAAUGUUACUAUAAAAGCAUUUUGCCCUAGAGUCUAGAAUUCCUGUGUUAAUGAUCGGAUUAGGAACUAGCAGAGUUGCCAACUACCCACAUAUUUUUGGAUUUUGACCUUACUUAGAAAAUACUGUUUUUGGUCUGGGUGUAGUGGUGCACGCUUUUAAUCGAAGCAUUUGGGAAGCAUUAGCAAGCAGAACUCUCUGUGUUCAAGACCAGCAUGGUGUACCGGGACAGCCAGAGCUACACAAAGAAAAAACCCUGUCCGGGAACAAACAACAACC